GGUUUGGUAGUUCAGUUGGUGAAAAGUCUGCUUAACAAUAACACGCAGAAGGUCGCCAGUUUAAGUCCGGUCCAGAUCC